GUCAGCUUCACCCUGACUCGGGGAGGAGGAGGUCAGAGACCCUGCGGGAAGGAUGGAGAGGAUGGCUCCCUUGUUUAAGAAGAAACCCUCACACUUAUAGGAGAAGAAGCAACAUUGUCAAUUGGAUAUAAAACAGGAUGGGGCAAAGGCUGAUGAAGCUGAUGUGUCCAAAGGAUGGGAAGAUGGAACCCCAAGGGCAGGCUUGUUGUCACUGAGACAGAAAGCUGGAAGAACUCAGCGGGUCAGGCAGCACCUAUUGGAGGGAAAUUGACAGCCAACGUUUCGGGCCGACACCCCUCAUUGUUCCAGAGAAGCUACAAUUAAAGGCACAAUAUAAA